rnacentral:rRNA from 1 species
UUACCUGGUUGAUUCUGCCAGUAGUCAUAUGCUUGUCUCAAAGAUUAAGCCAUGCAUGUCUAAGUAUAAGCAAUUAUACCGCGAAACUGCGAAUGGCUCAUUAUAUAAGUUAUCGUUUAUUUGAUAGUACCUUACUACUUGGAUAACCGUGGUAAUUCUAGAGCUAAUACAUGCUAAAAAUCCCGACUUCGGAAGGGAUGUAUUUAUUAGAUUAAAAACCAAUGCCCUUCGGGGCUCACUGGUGAUUCAUGAUAACUCCUCGAAUCGCAUGGCCUUGUGCCGGCGAUGGUUCAUUCAAAUUUCUUCCCUAUCAACUUUCGAUGUUUGGGUAUUGGCCAAACAUGGUUGCAA